UUAGCUCGGGCAGGUGAAACUGUAGGUUGGGUAAGGCAGGAGGAAGGACAACUCUGGUUUAUUUGUCUGGCGGGUUACUUACUUGGUCAGACAAUCUUCUUUUAAGCUAUUGGGGUUGUUGUUGAGUACGAACUAGAGCAAUAUAUUGGUGUUUGAUCGAGAUAAGGUCUUCAGCCAACUGGGCAUAUUCAAGCACCUUCGUAUACGAGUUGGGUGUCAGCAUCACAACCCGAU
rnacentral:lncRNA from 1 species